rnacentral:rRNA from 1 species
CGGCAGGCUUAACACAUGCAAGUCGAGGGGCAGCGCGGAGCAAGCUUGCUUGCUUUGGCGGCGACCGGCGCACGGGUGCGUAACAGGUGUGCAAUCUGUCCAUAAUCGGGGAAUAGCCCAGCGAAAGUUGGAUUAAUGCUCCAUGUGAGCAGAGGAGGCAUCUCCUUUGUUUGAAACGUAAGGAUUAUGGGUGAGCACGCUUCUGAUUAGCUAGAUGGUGAGGUAACGGCUCACCAUGGCGACGAUGUCUAGGGGUUCUGAGAGGAAGGUCCCCCACACUGGAACUGAGACACGGUCCAGACUCCUACGGGAGGCAGCAGUGAGGAAUAUUGGUCAAUGGUCGAAGGACUGAACCAGCCAUGCCGCGUGAAGGUGACGGCCCUAUGGGUCUUAAACUUCUUUUGUAAGGGAGCAAUAAGAUCUACGUGUAGAUUGAUGAGAGUACCUUACGAAUAAGCAUCGGCUAACUCCGUG